rnacentral:rRNA from 1 species
GCAGGCCUAACACAUGCAAGUCGAGCGGAAACGGCAGUAUUGAAGCUUCGGUGGAUUUACUGGACGUCGAGCGGCGGACGGGUGAGUAACGGCUGGGAACCUGCCCUGACGAGGGGGAUAACCGUUGGAAACGACGGCUAAUACCGCAUAAUGUCUUAGUUCAUUGAGCUGGGACCAAAGGUGGCCUCUACAUGUAAGCUAUCGCGUUGGGAUGGGCCCAGUUAGGAUUAGCUAGUUGGUAAGGUAACGGCUUACCAAGGCAACGAUCCUUAGCUGGUUUGAGAGGAUGAUCAGCCACACUGGGACUGAGACACGGCCCAGACUCCUACGGGAGGCAGCAGUGGGGAAUAUUGCACAAUGGGGGAGACCCUGAUGCAGCCAUGCCGCGUGUGUGAAGAAGGCCUUCGGGUUGUAAAGCACUUUCAGCAGUGAGGAAGGUCGUGUACUUAAUACGUGCACGGCUUGACGUUAGCUGCAGAAGAAGCACCGGCUAACUCCGUGCCAGCAGCCGCGGUAAUACGGAGGGUGCGAGCGUUAAUCGGAAUUACUGGGCGUAAGGCGCAUGCAGGCGGUUUGUUAAGUCAGAUGUGAAAGCCCGGGGCUCAACCUCGGAACCGCAUUUGAAACUGGCAGGCUAGAGUCUUGUAGAGGGGGGUAGAAUUUCAGGUGUAGCGGUGAAAUGCGUAGAGAUCUGAAGGAAUACCAGUGGCGAAGGCGGCCCCCUGGACAAAGACUGACGCUCAGAUGCGAAAGCGUGGGUAGCAAACAGGAUUAGAUACCCUGGUAGUCCACGCCGUAAACGCUGUCUACUUGGAGGUUGAGGUUUUAGACUUUGGCUUUCGGCGCUAACGCAUUAAGUAGACCGCCUGGGGAGUACGGCCGCAAGGUUAAAACUCAAAUGAAUUGACGGGGGCCCGCACAAGCGGUGGAGCAUGUGGUUUAAUUCGAUGCAACGCGAAGAACCUUACCUACUCUUGACAUCCAGCGAAGCCUUUAGAGAUAGAGGCGUGCCUUCGGGAGCGCUGAGACAGGUGCUGCAUGGCUGUCGUCAGCUCGUGUUGUGAAAUGUUGGGUUAAGUCCCGCAACGAGCGCAACCCUUAUCCUUGUUUGCCAGCACAUAAUGGUGGGAACUCCAGGGAGACUGCCGGUGAUAAACCGGAGGAAGGUGGGGACGACGUCAAGUCAUCAUGGCCCUUACGAGUAGGGCUACACACGUGCUACAAUGGCAGAUACAGAGGGCAGCGAGACAGCGAUGUUAAGCGAAUCCCUUAAAGUUUGUCGUAGUCCGGAUUGGAGUCUGCAACUCGACUCCAUGAAGUCGGAAUCGCUAGUAAUCGUGGAUCAGAAUGCCACGGUGAAUACGUUCCCGGGCCUUGUACACACCGCCCGUCACACCAUGGGAGUGGGCUGCACCAGAAGUAGAUAGCUUAACCUUCGGGAGGGCGUUUACCA